rnacentral:misc_RNA from 1 species
GUUCUCCUUUGGCUUUAAUUCAUCGGGCACGGGUUUUUUAGUCUCAAAGUCGUCACUAUGAAAAUCCUUACUGUUGGACAGCAUAUCAUACUCGUAGUCGCUGUGGUCGCCAUUUUCACCACCUCGCUUGGCGGUGGCCUCAGCAAGCAACAUAGAUAACUCUCUGAUUUUCUCUAAAUUGGAGGCUUCUCCAGCAUGGAGGUCAUCGUUCUCUUGACUGAUACUCUGCAGCUCAUUUUCCUUGUCCAGUAGUCUUUCCUUCAACUUCAGA